rnacentral:rRNA from 1 species
AGUCGCCGCGGGAAAACGUAGGUGGCAAGCGUUGUCCGGAAUUAUUGGGCGUAAAGGGCUCGCAGGCGGUUUCUUAAGUCUGAUGUGAAAGCCCCCGGCUCAACCGGGGAGGGUCAUUGGAAACUGGGAAACUUGAGUGCAGAAGAGGAAAGUGGAAUUCCACGUGUAGCGGUGAAAUGCGUAGAGAUGUGGAGGAACACCAGUGGCGAAGGCGACUCUCUGGUCUGUAACUGACGCUGAGGAGCGAAAGCGUGGGGAGCGAACAGGAUUAGAUACCCCGGUAGUCCCUGUCUCUUAUACA